UACAGAGGGGGCAAGCGUUGUUCGGAAUUACUGGGCGUAAAGGGCGCGUAGGCGGCCCGUCAAGUCCCGUGUGAAAUCCCCAGGCUUAACCUGGGAACUGCGUCGGAUACUGGAUGGCUUGAAUUCGGGAGAGGGAUGCAGAAUUCCGGGUGUAGCGGUGAAAUGCGUAGAUAUCUGGAGGAAUACCGGUGGCGAAGGCGGCAUCCUGGACCGACAUUGACGCUGAUGAACGAAAGCUAGGGGAGCAAACGGG
rnacentral:rRNA from 1 species